rnacentral:rRNA from 1 species
ACGGGGGGAGCAAGCGUUGUUCGGAAUUACUGGGCGUAAAGCGCGCGUAGGCGGUGAUCUUUGUCAGAGGUGAAAUCCCGAGGCUCAACUUCGGAAUUGCCUUUGAAACGGGAUCGCUUGAGUCCGAGAGAGGAUGGCGGAAUUCCUAGUGUAGAGGUGAAAUUCGUAGAUAUUAGGAAGAACACCGGUGGCGAAGGCGGCCAUCUGGCUCGGUACUGACGCUCAGGCGCGAAAGCGUGGGGAGCAAACAGGA